AAAAAGGUGUCAUGGCGAAAAUUCUUUUGGUUUGAGUUUUAUUUGUUAAUUUUGAUGUUAUUGGCUUGAAAAAGGAACACAUCUUUAUGGAUGAAUUUUUGUUAAACACUUGACUUUUGUUUUCUUAUCUAGAAGUGUCACGAUAGGUAAGAUCGAUACGUAUUUUAGUAUUUGUGAUUCCUUUUACCUGUUGACAGGUGACAACAUGUUUGUAAACAAACAUCAUGAACAUUUAAAUUCCAAAUUUUUCAUCUUCGCCUUUCUUUAAAAAAAUUGUGUAUCUAAUAAAGUAUAAGAAGUGUCUUAUGAAAUUUAGAAGAUCGUCCUUCUUAACAUAUACAUGUAUGUAAUUAAAAAAAAUAUGCACUUUACAUGACUUAUGUAUGGAUGUGUGCCAAUUUAAAAAUCCCUUUAUUACACAAAAAUUAAAUGAAUCAUCUAUUCAGUUAAUAUGACCUAGAUUAUGAAAAGAUUUAAUAUGUAAUCUCUUGGCAUGAAAUACUUUUAAAAGACUAUCUAAUUCACCAGUACAUGCAGUAUGACCUGUCUUUUGUACCUAAGUAUGAAACAACAACUUUUACCAAACAUGACUUAUAUUGUGUAGUGAAAUAUUUUUGAAGAUUUUACUAAAAAGCCUUACUAAUGAGACAUUGAUUAUAACACUUUGUUUUACAUUUUUGUAGAGAAUUUAACAGAAAUCAGCAGCCAAGAUGGCAAGAAAAAAGAUUCAAAAAAAGAGUUUGUGCACAGUUUGAUGCUUUCCUGAGA
rnacentral:lncRNA from 1 species